rnacentral:rRNA from 1 species
CCUACGGGUGGCAGCAGUGAGGAAUAUUGGUCAAUGGACGAGCGUCUGAACCAGCCAAGUAGCGUGAAGGAUGACUGCCCUAUGGGUUGUAAACUUCUUUUAUAUGGGAAUAAAAUGUUCCACGUGUGGGAUUUUGUAUGUACCAUAUGAAUAAGGAUCGGCUAACUCCGUGCCAGCAGCCGCGGUAAUACGGAGGAUCCGAGCGUUAUCCGGCUUUAUUGGGUUUAAAGGGAGCGUAGGUGGAUUGUUAAGUCAGUUGUGAAAGUUUGCGGCUCAACCGUAAAAUUGCAAUUGAAACUGGCAGUCUUGAGUACAGUAGAGGUGGGCGGAAUUCGUGGUGUAGCGGUGAAAUGCUUAGAUAUCACGAAGAACGCCGAUUGCGAAGGCAGUUCACUGGACUGCAACUGACACUGAGGCUCGAAAGUGUGGGUAUCAAACAGGAUUAGAUACCCUAGUAGUC